UCCUGGCUCGAACGAACGCUGGCGGCAGGCCUAACACAUGCAAGUCGAACGAGAAGCCGCUUCGGCGCGGUGGACAGUGGCGCACGGGUGAGUAACGCGUGGGAACCUAUCCUUUGGCGGGACAACCGUGGGAAACCGCGGCUAAUACCGGGUAAGCCCGAUGGCCUUCGGCUGUGGGAAAGAUUUAUCGCCGAAGGCAGGGCCCGCGUCGGAUUAGCUUGUUGGUGAGGUGAGCUCACCAAGGCAUCGAUCCGUAGCUGGUCCGAGAGGAUGAUCAGCCACACUGGGACUGACACGGCCCAGACUCCUACGGGAGGCAGCAGUGGGGAGUAUUGGACAAUGGGCGAAACUGAUCCAGCCAUGCCGCGUGAGUGAAGAAGGCCCUAGGGUUGUAAAGCUCUUUCACCGGACGAUAAUGACGGUACCCGGAGAAGAAGCCCCGGCUAACUCCGUGCCAGCAGCCGCUAAUACGGAGGGGGCUAGCGUUGUUCGGAAUUACUGGGCGUAAAGCGCGCGUAGGCGGUGCCAAGUCGGGGGUGAAAGCCCGGGGCUCAACCCCGGAACGGCCCUCGAAACUGACACUCGAGACCGGGAGAGGAGAGUGGAAUUCCCAGUGUAGAGGUGAAAUUCGUAGAUAUUGAAGAACACCAGUGGCGAAGGCGGCUCUCUGGACCGGACCUGACGCUGAGGCGCGAAAGUGGGGAGCAAACAGGAUUAGAUACCCUGGUAGUCCACGCCGUAAACGAUGAGUGCCAUGUCGGGGGGCAUGCCCUUCGGUGUCGCCGUUAACGCAUUAAGCACUCCGCCUGGGGAACGGCCGCAAGGUUAAAACUCAAAGGAAUUGACGGGGGCCCGCACAAGCGGUGGAGCAUGGUUUAAUUCGACGCAACGCGAAGAACCUUACCAGCCCUUGACAUGAUUGGUUUGGGCCGGGAGACCGGCGCUUUCGGUUCGGCCGGGCCUUUCACAGGUGCUGCAUGGCUGUCGAGCUCGUGUCGUGAGAUGUUGGGUUAAGUCCCGCAACGAGCGCAACCCUCGUCCUCAGGCCAUCGGUCCGGCCGGGCACUCUGGGGAAACCGCCGGUGAUAAGCCGGAGGAAGGCGGAUGACGUCAAGUCCUCAUGGCCCUUACGGGCUGGGCUACACACGUGCUACAAUGGCGGACAGAGGGCCGCGAGGGGGCGACCCCAAGCAAAUCCCUAAAAACCGUCUCAGUUCGGUGUUCUCUGCAACUCGAGAGCAUGAAGGUGGAAUCGCUAGUAAUCGCGGAUCAGCAUGGCGGUGAAUACGUUCCCGGGCCUUGUACACACCGCCCGUCACACCAUGGGAGUUGGUUACCUUAAGGCGGUGCGCUAACCCUCUUCGGAGGGAGGCAGCCGACCACGGUAAGGUCAG
rnacentral:rRNA from 1 species